rnacentral:rRNA from 2 species
ACGGAGGAUGCGAGCGUUAUCCGGAUUUAUUGGGUUUAAAGGGAGCGCAGACGGGAGAUUAAGUCAGUUGUGAAAGUUUGCGGCUCAACCGUAAAAUUGCAGUUGAUACUGGUUUCCUUGAGUGCAGUUGAGGCAGGCGGAAUUCGUGGUGUAGCGGUGAAAUGCUUAGAUAUCACGAAGAACCCCGAUUGCGAAGGCAGCUUGCUAAACUGUAACUGACGUUCAUGCUCGAAAGUGUGGGUAUCAAACAG